rnacentral:tRNA from 1 species
GGUGAGGUGGCCGAGAGGCUGAAGGCGGCGGUUUGCUAAAUCGUUGUAGGGCCUAAAAGCUCUACCCAGGGUUCGAAUCCCUGCCUCACCGCCA